GACGAACGCUGGCGGCGUGCUUAACACAUGCAAGUCGAACGGAAAGGCCCUUCGGGGUACUCGAGUGGCGAACGGGUGAGUAACACGUGGGUGAUCUGCCCUGCACUUUGGGAUAAGCCUGGGAAACUGGGUCUAAUACCGAAUAGGACCACGCGCUUCAUGGUGUGUGGUGGAAAGCUUUUGCGGUGUGGGAUGGGCCCGCGGCCUAUCAGCUUGUUGGUGGGGUAAUGGCCUACCAAGGCGACGACGGGUAGCCGGCCUGAGAGGGUGACCGGCCACACGGGGACUGAGAUACGGCCCAGACUCCUACGGGAGGCAGCAGUGGGGAAUAUUGCACAAUGGGCGCAAGCCUGAUGCAGCGACGCCGCGUGAGGGAUGACGGCCUUCGGGUUGUAAACCUCUUUCAAUAGGGACGAAGCGCAAGUGACGGUACCUAUAGAAGAAGCACCGGCCAACUACGU
rnacentral:rRNA from 1 species